rnacentral:rRNA from 1 species
UAGUCCACGCCCUAAACUAUGAACACUAGACGUGUGCUGCCUAGCAGUACGUGUCCCAGCGAAAGCGUUAAGUGUUCCACCUGGGGAGUACGGUCGCAAGAUUAAAACUCAAAGGAAUUGACGGGGGCCCGCACAAGCGGAGGAGCAUGUGGUUUAAUUCGAUGAUACGCGAGGAACCUUACCUAGGCUAGAAUGCGCGUGACCGCCCCUGAAAGGGGGCUUUCCUUCGGGACACAAAGCAAGGUGCUGCAUGGCCGUCGUCAGCUCGUGCCGUGAGGUGUUGGGUUAAGUCCCUCAACGAGCGCAACCCUUAUUUUAGUUGCCAUCAGGUAAUGCUGGGCACUCUAGAAAACUGCCUGCGUAAGCAGUGAGGAAGGAGGGGAUGACGUCAGGUCAGCAUGGCCCUUACGCCUAGGGCUACACACAUGCUACAAUGGUUACUACAGAGGGCAGCCACAUGGCAACAUGGAGCUAAUCCCAAAAGUACCUCAGUUCGGAUUGG